GAAUAAAAAAUGGUAAGUUUUUUGUUUUUAUUUUUGUCAUGUGAUUGGUUGUAUAAUUCUUAAAUUUCAAGAAAAAUUGUUAUGGUUAACUCUUCAAUUCAAUGGGAUGAAGUGUUCUUGUCGGGUUCUUUAUGGUUUAGGGUUCAUAAAAAUGGUUAUUUUGAAGGACUUUCUUUGUUGUCACAAAUUUGGUUCUUAAUUUGUUGAAAUUAUUUGUUUUUGUGUUUUCAUUUUCGAUGGUGGUCAUAGUGCGGACUGCUGUUUUCUCACAUAUUUCAGUUUUCUUUCUCGUUGUAAUAUUAUGUAUGCGUCUUAAUUCUUGUUGUCGUGGAUAUAUAUCAAAGAAUAAAGACUAGUGAAGAAAUAUAUCAUUCGGGCUUUUGCAAAAACAACUAUUUAUCAAGAUGCAAGCUUGUCGAUGUUUUUAGAAGACAAUUGCAACAGUGUCUUUGUUUUUAGAAGACAAUCGCUACUUGAAGACACAUUUAAAUUUGCAAACUCGAGCUAUGGUGGCGGUUCAAAAAGUUCUUCAUUUUUGAAGACAACCACAAUGAUUGUUCAUCAUGCAAUUAACGAAUCUGAGAAGGCUUCUUAUGUUGCACAUACUAACAAUUACAUGGAUGAAGAUAAAUUCAUGAAGCAGUUUCUUCCAAUUGAUCCAUGUUCAAAUGUAUUGUUUGAUCUUGCUAAAGAUGGAGUUCAGCUCUGGUAAAUGAUCCAUAUUUGGUUUGAUAUGUACAUUGUUAGGUAAUUAGCUAAUUGUUGAAUCUGUUUUAUUUUGUGAUUGCAACUUAAUAAGUGUGUUAAUCAUGUAAAUACUUAUGUACUAGUGAAGUGAGGAAAAUGUUAAUUCUUAUUGAAUGUUUA